GCGCCGGCGUACGAUCUGCGCUGCAGCUUGCUAGAGAAAGGACGGCAGCCGCAGCCGCAGCCGCAGGCUUCGACCGUGGCGCCACGCCUCGUGCCAAAACCCAAGAAAACCAACCCUCCAUGGGUCCGCGCAUUCAGGGCGUUCGCCAACACGGCCUGUGUACUAUUUAUAGUCUUCAUCUUCACGGUCAUGGUUCCACGGAGCAGGGACAAGGACCACCUGGUCGGUAACUGCGUCGUCUCCGUGCUCCUCUCGCUUGGCAUACCGGCCAUGGUGUAUACCCUCACAAUGGACCUUGAUGAUCAACCUCGAGGUCCACACAAUGCGUGA
rnacentral:rRNA from 1 species